UAUCUAUAUCCUAUAUAUCUCGAAUCGGUUAACAUCUACUUCCAGCGAGAACCCUUUCCCGCUCAUGGCAGGUGUUGUUAUUGGUUUUGAUUGUUUUAUUAAUGAUGAGAACCAUUUUGGUGUUGUUUUUCCUCCAAAAGGUCUCUUUUUCUAAUAAUUUUGUUAAGGUGUAUCACAGCAUCUAUGCAUUUAAAGUUUGUAAUCUGGUAGUAUCUUAUUCAUCACUUUUCUCUCCUCCAUUCCUUCCUCUUUCCCUCACCCCUUCCUUCCCUUCCUCCCUCCCUCUCCCCCUCCUGGUUUCAGUCUAGUCCAAGCUGCCUGAGAACAAGCCUCCUGCCUUAGACUCUCAAACACUGGAUUGAAAUCACCAGCCACCGCACCCAGGAACAGUCAUGGUUUCUUCGGUAACAUUUCUUGGUUUCUUUUCUUUUCUUUUCUUUUUUUAAACUAUAGAAUCCGGCUUCUUCUGCAGCGGGGUUAAAUGCCCCAGUCCAGGAGAUAGGCAACUACAGGGAUUGAAUAAGUCUGAUCAGCUAGAUAUUUCUGCCAAGUUUUAUUAAAACACAACCCUGGCCACUCGUUUACUUCCAUCCAUGGCCCUUUCUGCACAGCGGCAGCAUCACAGUUCAGAUGCUCAUAGCAUCAGAGUUCUGUGGAAGUUGGGACUCAGACUUUGCCACGGGUUUAUGACAUUGAGGCAGAAGAGGACCACAUCGUGCGUGCCCCUUCUUGAUUGACAUCUGUUGUCACAACACAAAGAGUAUGGACUAUGUCUGCUAGGUGCUCAGUUCUCUCCAUCCACUCCAGCAGGAUCCUUGAUCAUGGAGGUGGGCUUUGUGAGACAAAUCACAAAAACAACUCCUGUUUGAAAGAGUCACAAAAUUCAGACAGACAAGCAAAAUCAAACCCGGGAACCAGAUCCAUUCGCUGCCAAGUUUCUCUCUUUCUAAACGGACCAUUGAUAAGAAUCCACUACACCAGUUACACUGUAAGGAGAUUGCUUUUCAGAAGCGUCUGUGCUAUUUAAAUUAAGGGUCUGUAAGAACCAGCCAGGGACUGAGUUGACGGCCAUUUCUGUAAUAAAACAAUAAAUCGUGGGGGAUAGUUAAGGGUAUGAGAAACGUCACACUCUUGUUUUGUUAAAACAAUUAAGCAAUGAGCUAUGUGGGUCCUUUCCUUAAUCACCAGAACACACGCGAUAGCACUUAGCCUUUUACUUAGCUACAUUAAUUUAUCCCAACAACUUCAGCUACUCACAAUGCUAAUAUUAGAAUUCAUUUCAAAAUAAAAGUCUUUAAAAAUAUUGUUCAACCAUUACUACCCUUUACAAGGUUGCCAUUUGAAACUUUUAGCUCCAUCCCAGCCUCAUCAUGUUAGAAGUAAUUUGUUUUAAAUAUAGACAGGUCUGAAGCAAGAAGAUGGUGGCCAAACUCUUGUCCCUACGUAGGGGAUGAAUCUAUCUAGAGCUAUCCAGGACUCCUUUUUGUGAUGGAGGGCUGUUUUAUCAUUAUGUUCUCAGGUGGCUACCCAACCCCUAAAGUGCCAGCCCAAUCAAGGAACGGUUUGAAAAUUUCCAGAAUUGUGGUGAAUUUUCAUCAAAAUGGCCACACUGGAUUUGUGGUCACGAUAUUAGAUAGUAUUAAUCUAGAAUGACUCUGAGGCUAGAGAAACAGGGGGCACUCACCUGGAAGUUGGAGAUAUUACUCAGGUAUUUCAGAAACCCACAGGCCUUCUCCAGUUCUUAUUUGAAACAACUGUAUUUGGAGACAGCCCAGAGGACAAGGACAUCUUUAAUGGGAAGUCUCUAAGCUUACCGUAUAGAAAGCUAAUUCCAUUCAGAAAGAAAUGGGCAAGAUUCUUUUUCCAACUUCAUCCUAACUCAGCAACUCUUUUGGCUGAGCCUAGGUUCUUCUCUGGUUACGGUGGAUUUCCUUCAACCAUGUGAGCAUUUAACUGGUAGCCACAUUUAGGGAGUCUUGAACAAUUGUUUUGGGCUCAUAGGUGGCCUGUCAAACCGCAGGGACAUUUAAUAGCCAGAUCUAGUUUGCCUUGUAAAGAAUUUGGGUUUCCCCCUUUCAAAAGUUGCUAUUUCUCAUCAAGCCCACGUGGCUCUCCUAAGCGGGCAUUGCUUUCCCUGUAAUUCAUUCGUUCACGAGAGUGGUCAGAGGAGCUGACCCUUCCAACACUGGUGACCCAAGAAAGCGCACACUGCAGGAAAUCUGGUUGUGAGUUAGAGAAGAGCUAGAGCAGGAGAAUGGAGGUAGAAAGUUCCAAGGGAACUGUCCUGAAGACGAAAAGGUCUUAGCCAGGUCUGCUGACUCUUCACUGGGCGAUGCUAAGCUGGACAAUUGGACUGAAUCUCUCUCCUGUCUUCUUCCCCACCCCAUCCCCAUUCCUCCCUGUACCCCUCUGCUUCUUUUGAACUUGGGUUCAACAGAUGAACAUGAAUGUAUGCUAGUAAACCUGGUCAGAAGGUUGGGGCUGCCAGGCCAUUUGCACAGCCCUCGUUCUAACUCUCACAACUGGCCACAUACAUUGUCUGAGUAAAGGCUACGUGAAAUUUAUCUACUGGGUUUCAUGACUCCCGGAAGUGCUAUCAGACAAUGCCUAGGCCUCUUCCCACAGACAGGGAUAAAAGUGAGUGAGGGCUCAGUGUUCAUGGUGGGCAGGGUGUGGGGAGGGAGAGGGGAAGAGUCUGACUCCUUCAAGAUGAUCACGUCCGGUGAUGAAGACAAUGAAUCCAUUGUUUUUCUUUCUAAAAAAAUACAGCCAACAUAGCCAGGUGGUGGUGUCUCUCUUAGUCCCAGCACUUG
rnacentral:sRNA from 1 species